CUUAUUUUUUUUUCAAGAUAGGGUUUCUCUGUGUAGCUUUGCCUGUCCUGGACUCACCUCAUAGACCAGGCUGGCCUUGAACUCACAGAGAUUCACCUGCCUCUGCCUCCCAGAGUGUGGGAUUACAGGAGUGCUCCACCGAGCCCAGCUGCCAGCAUGCUUUCUAAAGGGCAUAAGUGCAUAAGUGCUGGUUAAAAUUAAGCUGCCCCCUAGGUAGGGGACAAUUCACUGAUGCCUAUUUUAAGUUCUACUGGCUGCUGGCCUCCUUUGGCUAGCAGCUGAACUCCUCAAGUCCUGGCAUCCAUGUCAGAUAGCCCUAGGCCUUCCUCUUGCAGUCCUGCUGUGAUAAUUCAAUAGUCUCAAUACCUCACAGAGCCUUAGCUUGGUUAUAUCUGCUACUUGGGUGCCAAGAUUUCAGGAGAUCCUAUCUUUGGGAGUCAUUAUUUAGCCUACUGCCCUAGCCACUGUCUUCAUUGUUGUUCUCCUCUUUUUCUUCAUAAGAUUUAUUUUCAUUUCAUGUAUGUGUGUUGUGUGGUAGACAUUUCCAGCAGAGAUGCAACACAACUGCUCCCCCAGAUAGGGAUCCUACCACAACAGACCAAAGCCCAGACACCAUUAAAGUCCAGCUCAGUGAACCAAUUAGUCAUAGUGGGAUUAAACUUUUAAGGAAUUGGGGGGAGGGGUUUCUUAUGUGCAUUUUUUUUUAAAAAGAAUGUAUUUAUUUAUACAACAUUUAUUUAUUAUUUAUACAACGUUCUGCCUACACACCAGAAGAGGGCACCAGAUCUCACUGUAGAUGGUUAUGAGCCACCAUGUGGUUUGCUGGGAAUUUAACUCAGGUCCUUUGGAAGAACAACCAGUGUAUUCUUAACCUCUGUGCCAUCUCUCCAGCCCAAGGGGGAAUUAUAAGAGCAGAAAUGACUCAAAGACGGUAGGCAGCUCCACAGGGUAAGGAGUAUCAUUUUCAUAUGGCUCAAUUGAACUAAGCCUCUUUCAGGAAGCUUGAUGUUUUGUUUCCUUUUAGUCUACUUUGCUGACCUUUGCUUCUUCCAAGCAGCUAGGCUUGUCUUAAAGUGAGUCUGAAGAACCUUUCCCUUUGGGCAGGAGGGGCCUAGUGAAUCUGCUCAAUUUCAGGGACUUCCUGAAGCUAUUUUGAGUUGUUUGCCUUCUACCUUAAGGAGCUAGCACCAGGGCAGGGUGAAAUGUUUUGUUCUAGGAGGCAACUGCUAUACAACAAUGCAUUUUCCAGGAAGUAUAUACAUACAUGGUAAGUGUGCCUGCUGCAUAUAGAGGUCAGAAGAGGACUUCAGACCCCCUAGAACUGGAGUUACAGGUGGUUGUGACCUACCAUGUGGGUGCUAGGACCCAACCUUUGGUUCUCUGCAGAAGCAGUAAAUGCUCUUAAGUGCUGACACAUCUCUCCAGUUCCCCAACUGUUUUCUUCUAACAAAGUUCACCAGUGGAUCGUCACCGAGCACUGGGCAUCAUUCAUCAGCCCAACCUGACUGCGCACAUAGCCACCCAUCCUGAAGUCUCCGCGCAUGGACCUCUGAACAACUGGGACCUGCAUUCCACAGAGGCAGGGGUGUGGGGAUACCCCUAAGCACUCCCUCAAAACCUCUAGUUACCGUCACGAAAAGAAGCAGGAUGUUACAGACUGGGGUCCUGGACUGUAGUAACUUCUCUUCCGGGGCAUCGAGGUGUCUCAUCAGGUAAUGACCCUCACUGAUCGGCCCAAUGACCUCAGUCCCAUGGAUACACACGGUAGAAGGCUUUAACCUUAUCAACACUAAUUCUGACCAGCGCACUCCAAGAACCACCCUGCGGUCUCAGCACAAUGGCUUAGCAACCCUUGGAGAAGGAUUUUUGAGCCCUGGAAAGGACCACCACAUCCUGGUUCAGUGAUAAUGGAAGCCAGCCUGACCCCGAGACAGCAGGAGAAUCUGCUCUGCUGCAGAUGCCAGAAAGCUAUCAUUUUUAAAAGAUUCUUUUCACACAUCUAAUUUAACAUCUUCAGAGCCGAAAAAGUAAUCCUGGACUCCAGAGAAGUGGAUGCAGCUUGGGGACAAUAGCUGAGCCCCACAGCAGGGGCUGGAUGCGGAGGGCCCACGAAACAGCUGCCCCUCGCUGCUCAGCAUGGCAGCAGCGUGAACUCACCUGAUCCUACAUGUUCAUAUUCUAGAACUACCGGAAGGCAUGGACGUGCACCUUGUGUGGUAGAUAUUCCAUGAGGGCCACCUAAAUGCAUGUGCCAGGGGUCUGGGAAACAGGACUGAUCUUCUCACGUCUAGCUGGGGACCACAUAGGACAGCCCCUCCCAUUCCUAAGAGUAUGCCAAAAGCAGAGGCCUGGAGAACACAUGUUGGCUGAGAAAUGGCCACUACUGUGUCUCCCUCUUGCCCCCGGAUGGGCAACCUCCAGUGAACAGCCCCAGCAAUGACAGGCUCUAUGGUUCCCCACUGCCUGACAUUCCUGACCCUAUUCCUGCUGACUCACUACAACAUGAUUGAUCUAGCUUCGGGCAGGAGGCCAGCAGGAGCCAGAGGAGAACAGGGUGAAAAGCACAGGAUCAAGGAUUCUGUCAGGAGAGAGAGGCACCUUCCUGUUUCUGCUGUUUUGAAGGGGUGAUCAGGAAGUGGACUUCCUGGAGGCCAAAGUGGACUUCUUCUCCAUCCCUGACUCAGCCAGGCCUCACCACCUCCCACUCAGAGAACCAGCUCCCUCUAGCCCCUGCUCCUGAGUUAAAGCCCCUCCACAGCUGGCCUGAUCAUUACCUAUGUUCCCAGCUGUGAUAAUCUAGUGUGAUUGCCUGUGAGUGUGCUACAAUGUGCCAACAAGUGUGGUCAAGUACAAUGGUGCCAGUCCAUGAGUGACUCAGAAUCACUGUGUAAUUGCGUGCAGCUGGCUCUGAUUACACACAGAAGAAAUGGUUGCUUGUGCUUGCAUGUGGUUACAUCUUACUGUGUUCAUUUGUGCGAUGGUGUGCUGCAGCCCGUGGGUGCUUGCUUGCCUGUGGUUACACGUGUUCCAAGUAGCUUCGUGCUGCCGAGUACAGUAUGUGGUGGAUGUGCCAAUAAGUAGCUGUGUGUAGGUGGGUGGGGCUUUGUGUGAUCCUUCAUAUAUCCAUGUGUGUCCCAAGGCCUAGGCCCAAAGAGAUCACUGGUCUGCAGCCUGUAUGCUAUGGUAGGGAGAGGAGGUGGGGUGUGUGUGUGUGUCUGAGAGAGAGAGGGAGAGGGGGAGAGAGAGAGGGAGAGAGUUUUGUAUGUUCUCUCCUAAUUCCUAUCCCUGAGGAGGCCAAAAGCCUCCACUUAAUGAAAGGACUCAGAACAGGCUGCAGGAUGCUCUUCCCCUGGGUCACUGACCAUUUUUAGAGUGUUUUCUUGGAAGUCACGCUGAGCUUCCGAGUAAUGCCAGCCCAGCUGAGCUCUCACAACAGCUGACCCCAGGCUCACAAUGUCACGGUAUAGACUCCACCCUGGCCCAGGCUGCUUCCCAGCCCUGCAGAGAUGGCCUUCAUCUCUCAGCCUGGCCACCCGUGGUCAUUUCUCUCUACCCUUCAUCUGGCUGCAGAAGAAAUAUAGGUGCCUAGUUCCCCACCUCACAGCCCUGAAGACAGACUUUCCAGGAGUUGACCACUAACUCUUUCAGGGAUGACGAAAACCUCCCCAGCAAGGACUAUACAAUGCUUUCCAUGUCUGCAUGCUUACAUUUUUGACUGCCAGGCUACUUCAUUAGAACCUUUGGUGGAGGGACCUUUUCACCUAAGAGCUUCCAGGCCUGUUCCCUCCUCCGUACAGGGGAGCCACAGCCUCAGCUCCAAGCAACUCCCCACCAGCCCCUCUUGUAGCUACGGCCUCCUCUGCUUCUCUGAGAAGACUCACAGGACUGUGACCUUGUCCAGAAAUGACAGGACUUAUUCAUCUGAUUUAUUUUCUGUAGCUCCCAGCUGUGUGGGUAUGCAAGCCCCACACUGCUUCUGUCCCUGCUGAGAAAAAAAUCCUCGUGUGGAUGCUGGACAGAUUGAGAACAGGGUGAACAGGAGUCUUCAGUACCUUGAGGAGAGGAAGGGCAGGAACAAAGAAACCCAGGGUCAGGAGUCAGAGUACUCGGUAUGAAGGGCUGGACUGGAGUCAGGGCAUGCCUGCCUUGCCAACACCAGUGAACUCACAGAUGGGGGGGGGCUCCUGGAAAAGCAGUUCCUAGACCAGCGGUAUCCUAACUCCCUGUCCCAAAGCUGUGUGAAUAGCGAAGGCUAAUUUCAUUCCCUGGGCUUCAGUUUAGCCACCUCAAAGACUGAAAAAAAGAUCAUGGAAGUGAAAUAUGUGAAGCGCUUGAUGGCUUCCACCAGCAACCUGAAGACAAUUUUGACUCCAAGUCCAAGGUCUUUCCCGGCCUAGACGGUCUACAUUUCUGGAAGGGUUACUCUUCUCUUACCCCUUCAGAAGAGCCCAUGGAGACUCUACUUAGAAAGGAUGGAGAAAGAGCUGGGCAGGAAAGACUGAAGAAAGUCCAUGGGGGGAAGUGUGAAGGUGAACAUGACCGCCAGGACUGUGGUGCCUCCCAUGUCAGCUCUUAGACGCUAGUACCUAACAAGACUUUUCUCACUCCUCCCAGCUCUGUCAUCUAAGUUAUCCUCUCCUCCCAGCCCAUCCCUCCUCCCCACUGCUGUUCAACUACCUCAGGUCCCCUGGGGCUGCAGUUUUGGCUUUAGUUAAAAACACCUGGUAAGCAUUACAGUUCAACAUUCAUAGACUAUCUGAACCAAACCAGCAUCCUCCCCAUGGGGAGGUCAACAGAGAGGCUUGAUAUUUAUCAAGACACCACUGGUCUUAUUUUCUAAAAGCAGUCAGUUACAACAGGAAGAAUGUCUAUUGAUCACCCUGCUCAAUGCCACAUGAAAAACCCCACUGACAUCAAUGUCCAAAAAAGUAGUAGAAAUGACAGGACUAGGUUAGUAGAAGCGAUUGUGUAUAGUGAGUGGGUCCUGAGGACCAACUACUGGCCAACAUCUCAAAAUGGGCCAAAGAAAGACAGCUGCUCCUUGCUGCCUUCUGUGACAUUUCUGGAGUCUUUACUGAGUGCUAGAUGCAAGAGUAUUCUUCCAUCUCAUACCUCAGCCCCUUAUGAGCCAUUUGGGUCAAAAGUCAGCUUUCCAGAGACAGAUUUAAGUUGGCUCCCAUUAGCCUGCAUUCUCACAUUUUUGUGACUACUCCCCUUCAGUGUGGUAAAAGUGGACCCACGCAUCCCUUCUAGCCAAUAGAAUAAGGAAAAAAGUGGGGGUUGUCAGUGCCAUUACUAUUUUAUAUUAUCAAAGACCUAGUCUUGCUAGCAGUCAGGCAAUGUGAGAUUACCCCACUUCCAAGUGUUUGGCUUCUAAAACGCCUGCUGCAAGGAUCCAGGGCCUCUAACUAGUGAUGCUCAAAGACAUUAGACUUCAUUGGAGACCAUACUGCGUUUGUCACAGGUGGCUAUGAUUGGCAUGGGACUGGGUAGCUGGGAUCUUAUUCUCCAGACAUUUAGCAGGGAGGAAAUGAACAGAGCAGAGGGCAGGCAUGACAAGGGGACCUCCAUGUGCCAAGUUUUAGCCUAUGAUGACUCAGCAGCUCCACAGGUCUUUGCCAGUGAGCUGGCUGGCUAGUAUACAUCAGACAGGUUCCUAGCAGGAAGCAGACAGCACACACAAAUUGGGCAUUUGAAGAGCAUUCCAUGAAGACACUAAGUCCUGGGGGAUAUACAAAAGCUUGUAAGAACCUGGACCAAGAUUGGUAACCCAUCCCACUGCCAGCCUCACGAGCCACAGGAUAUUAUCAGAGCAGCAGGGAGCUUGAGCUGAGUGGAGAGGGCAUCAGGCAUGAAGGUGGUUCCACUUGGGUGUACAGCCAGGCUGUGGCACCCUGAAGGAAGCGUUGUAUGUCCUAACCUUGCCCUGUCUCUGCCUCCCUCCCACAGACUGAGAGUGUCAGGACAGUGAGAGGCACCUGCUGGCACAGCUCCCUCAGGGCACCUCCUGUGGAACAGGGCAGAGCAAAGAUUGAGGCUUACUGUGGCAAGGUAGUAGUCAAACACUACCCAGAGGCAGGAAAAACGCCUGGUUUUUUUUGGCAGUGUUCUUCCAUGCUCAUGAUCAGCACCUCUUAAACUAUGAUUAACAGCUCAUUUCGCAAACCUCUACCUCCAAAACUAUUUACAUUACAAUUCAUAAUGGUAGCAAACUUACAGUCAUGAUGUAGCAAUGAAAAUAAUUUUUAGGUUGCAGGUCCCCCAACAUGAAGAACUGGAAUAAAGGGUUUCAGCAUUAGGAAGAUUGAAAAUCAUUGUUGGUGGACACCAGUGCACACAGACCCUGUUGUAAGAUAAGACAGAUUUCCCAACAAAUUCAAAAAAAGCCUUAAACAUCCCUCGGCCACUUUGCACUACUACACAGUCAUGUGAAGAGGCAUUCUCAGCACUGAUAAAAUAUUAGUCAACUCUGAAAAACAUUCAACAUGCUUUAUAUCCUGCAAGAACAAAUAUUAGU